UAAGGAAUAUUGCUCAAUGGGAGAAAUCCUGAAGCAGCAACGCCGCGUGGAGGAUGAAGGGUCUAUGACUUGUAAACUCCUGUAAAGAAGGAAAAAAUUCCCAUUAGAUGGGAGAUGAUGGUACUUCUGGAGUAAGCCCCGGCUAACUACGUGCCAGCAGCCGCGGUAAUACGUAGGGGGCAAGCGUUGUCCGGAUUUACUGGGUGUAAAGGGUGCUCAGGCGGAUUUGUAAGUCAGAGGUGAAAUCUUACAGCUUAACUGUGAAACUGCCUGUGAUACUGCAAGCCUAGAGUAUGGAAGAGAGUGAUAGAAUAUCUGGUGUAGCAGUGAAAUGCGUAGAUACCAGAUAGAACACCAAUGGCGAAGGCAGUCACUUGGUCCAUUACUGACGCUAAAGCACGAAAGCGUGGGUAGCAAACA
rnacentral:rRNA from 1 species